CCUUCCUUAGAAUCAAAGGAACUGUUAUUAUGGAAAUUUUUUACCAAAUUAACAUAUUUUGCUUGUUUCACUGGCCAGAGUUGAAACCCACACUCCUGGUAUAUAAGUAGGAGAAGAACUUUUUCUUAUAUCUUUUAUUCCAAUAAACUGAGUUAAUAUUCCUAUUAUAAUUUAAAAUGACAGUAAGAUUUCCCAAUGGAAUCAAAAUGUUGGGGGGAGGGUGGAGCUGGAGGAAUGAAAUCCACAAAGCUCCAUAUUACCUCACAUGAUAUUGUGAUACAGUAAGAAAUAUAUAUUUGGUCUCUGGUCCUGGCACAUACUUCCUAAAACCCUUGGAAUCUCCAAAGUGCUAAGGGUCUCUGUGAAUACUAAUGAAUUGAGUGAUGGCUGGGGUUCCAGGAUAGCCUUAGGAUGGGGGCUGGUUGCCAGGGGAACCAACCAUGUGAUUAGAGGGUUAGAACUUUCAGUGCCACCACCACCACACAAUCUCCAGGGAGGGUAAAGGAGCUUUAGGUUGAGCUGAUCACCCAUGUCCCAUGAUGUAAUCAAUCAGGACAUAAUGAAGCCUCCAUGAAAAAUCAAAAGGACUGGUUCAGAAAGUUUCUGGAUUGCUGAACACAUGUAAGAUCGUGGAGGUUGGUGUGCCCAGAGAGGGCAAGGGUCUCACUUUGUCAACCAGGAUAGAGUACAGUGGCAUGAACAUGGCUCACAGCUGCCUCAACCUCUCAAGCUCCAGCGAUCCUCCCUCAGCCUCCUGAGUAGCUGGGACCACAAGGAUGCGCCACCACCCCUGGCUAGUUCUGUUCAUUUUUUGUAGGGACAAGGCCUCACUAUGUUGUCCAUGACUCAAGCAAUCCUUCUGCCUCAGCCUUCCAAAGUGCUGGGAGUACAGGCGUUUGAGUCACCGUGCCUGGCCAGAUCUUGGUUUCUAAUGCCAUUAUCCAAUAAAAGGAAUGGGGACUCCUUGGAGAAAUGACUGAUUCUAGGAGCCGGGCAGGAAAUAUGCAAGAUGAGCCUGGAGCAUUUUGUAGUACCACAAAGUAGGAAAGUAUUAAAAUACACACACACACACACACACACACACACACACACACACAAUGUCAAAAGAACCAGAGGCCAACCAAAAGAGCACCUGAUGGCCAAAGCUGGAACAAUUUGAGCAACAAAAUAAAUGAAGUAAUACUGGAUUAAAACCCAAAGUGUAAAAUAAAUAUCCAUAUCAGUAUGACUCCACACUGAUAUAAAUGAUUGAACAGAUGAGGAAAAAUAAAGUCUCUGAUGCAGAAUUACAAAUAAUUUGUGUAGAUAUUUUGCCCUCAAGGAGGUAGAGUACAACUCUCCACUCCUUAGGUGUGGGCUAUGCAUAGUGACUUUCAUCUAAAGAGUACAGUAUGGAAAAGGGGGGAAAGUAUCUUUACAGCAGAGAAACCUGAUAAACUACCUUAAGACCAAGGUCAACAUCAGUAGUGAUAAGUCAUAUUGAUAGGAUGUACCCUUGAUAGGAAGUAAUGAGAAUGAUACUUUACCUCUCUGGGUCUUCCUCCCAAAAACACAUUAUCAAGUCUAAUAAUGACAAAAACAUCACACAAAUCCCAACUGAGGCAAUCUUACAAAUAUCUGACCAACAACCCUCAAAACUGUCAAGAUCAUCAAAAACAAAGCAAGUCUGAGAAACAAUCACAACCAAGAAAACUGUAAGGAGAAAUGAGUACUAGACAUAAUGUGGUAUCCUGGAUGGUAUUCAGGAACAGGAAAAAGACAUUAGGAAAAAAACCUGAGGAAAUCUGAAUAAAAUAUGAACUUUAGUUAACAAUAAUGUAUCAAUAUCAGUUUACUAAUGUUAAAAAUAUACUAUACUAAUAUAUUAAUAAUAGAGGAAACUGCAGUGUGGGG
rnacentral:lncRNA from 1 species